AUCCAUUUGUUCAGUAAGCAUUUAAUUUCACCACCAGGCGCGUGCCUGGCCCUUGGGGAGGUGCUGGGAAGCAGAAAUAAAGAAGAUGCCUAUCUCCAUCCUCCAGGGCCUCCAGGAAGCCCAGUGGCCCCAUCACACACCAAAGAGCCCCAAAGACACCCCAGAUCGGAAAUCGCUGUGGUCACCACGCUUAUGGUUUGAACAGAACAGCCGCCCAGAGCUGCCAGUUGGAGGCGUCCUGCAGAGCUGCUCAGGACAUGGCUUUGCUCUCGUCUCACUUGGCCUCCCCUCCCUUUUUCUAGGACGAUGCCAUUAGCUUUGAGCAUCAGGAAUGUGCUGAAGACAGGCGAUGAACCGGUGACCUUGGGGUGAGCAGCCGGCUGAGCGCAGGGCAAGCUUGCCAGAUGCAGUCAAGGCCACUUCCGGUCCCCAGACCACCGCCCCCCCCCAGGUUCAUACAUCGGCGUCCUGUCACUUGAGCGCUCCCUCCUGCCUCUGCUCACCUUCUGGGCCUCAGUGGAGAGGCCGCCAGGGAAAAUCCAUUUAAAGAAGCCACGGCCAUCUCUGCAGCGUAACCCAGUGAUUCUGUAAUAAAUCACGUUCUGGAGCCAGGAGCCACUUAGGAACCUGAGCCGUGAAUCCUGCCUGGGGCUGGCACUUUGGAUCUGCUCAAGCUGAGCCACUGCUUUGUGCUGUGAUUCCUGCCGGUGGCACUUGUGCGAUGGCGGAUGGUAGACUCUGGCGUGUCCCUUGCCUCGACCAGAGACCUCUGCCUUGGAAGAGACCCCGUGUUCCACUGCUGUCUCCACUGAUGUGACCAGGGCCUGGCCCAGGGACAGGACUCGGGGGCCCAAACGGGGUCAGGCAGGAACCUGGCCCUCAGGGAACUGGCUUGGGCAACCUCACGUGCCAGGAACGCCCCCAUGAGUGACCCAAGGCCUCUGGAGACCAGCCAGAUUGGGCAGCCUGGCCCCUGCGGCAGAAGACAGUCUGUCGGACGGGCUGUCAGCAAGCAGCAACGACGUCCUUCUUGGGGACGCCUGGCCGAGCUUCGCAGAGCGGGAGCCCUGAACACAGCAAGGAGGCAAGGCUGAGUCUUUCUUCAUCUUCUCCCACCACCCUAAUGAAGCCACGAGGCAGGAGGGACCAUGGGAACCGGACUCAGCAAGAAGGGACUUUGCAACCAGACUCAGCAUCUCUGAAGAAAGGCCCCUCUGAAAGAAGACAGCACAGAGGCAAGCACGGCAACCUGGAAAAUAUUUACAUCCUUCGCAACCAGCCAGUGGAGCCCAGGGGGUCCUGUUAUUUGUCACUCCCUUGGGGAGCUGAGCUACAAGGCAAGCGACAGCUUCCCAUUUCAAGUCAGCCUUGGGAACGUCUCUCCUCUGUAUCAUACCAACCAGGGGACCAACGUGAUGGCUGCUGGCUGUCGGAGGCCCAUGUGUAUGGGCACGGACGGGGUGGUGGCGGGAGCUAGCACGCUGGAGUCCCCAAGGUCCUGGCUGGCUUGGCCCCUCCUCAGCUGUGUCCCUGCACAGCCUGCUCACCUCCUUGGAAUUUCUGCUUCUUGGUCUGUUGGAGAGUCCCAGUGCUUGCCUACUUGACAGUUUCAUUCCAACGACUGAGUGAGCUGCAAAAGGCGCCCUGAACACGAAGAUGCUUCUUCCCCGGUGCCUGGGAUCAUUGGCGCUGGGUAAACGCGACCCUGCCCCUCUCCCGUGCGUGCUGAUGUCUGCUGGGCAGGGCUCUCUGCCACAAGCAUGCCUUCCUGUUCUGCCCAAGAUGGGUGAUGCGGGACCUGGCACAAUCAUGGCUUAAAAGAAAUCUGAGCAGUCACCUCGCUAUUAUCGAGCUCCCUGUGGGCCAGCCUGUGCUAAAAAAUGGGGUGUGUGAGCACGCUCCUGGGAGGAGGGGCCGUGGAGUUCACUGGCCUCUCUGGUGAGACUGGGAGCCCACCAAAGGUCAAGUACCCCACGUCUGGAAGGAAAGGACUCUGUUGAGGAACCCAGAGACCCAGCUCUGCCUCUCACUGGCUGGUGACUUUGAGGCCAUCCCUUGGCUUCCCCGGGCCUCUGUGCCUCAUCUGUAAAAUGGGUGUAACUGCCUGCCGUCCGGUGUCCCCGUCAGCUCGGACCCCUGACGAGCCCCUCCCUCGUCAUAUCCUCCAGCAGAGGAGGCGCUUUCUGCGGCCACUAACGUGGCCUGGGUUCUUGUUGCAGGAUGGGCUCUGGCCGCCUGGGAAGGUCCCGAAGCCAGCCUCCUUCUUGCUUCCACAGUAAGAGGACAUUUCUUCUUUGCGAAACAUAAGUCACUCCGGGCAGCUGUGUCCACGGAUUGCCCCCCGCCCCCAAUAACCAAAGCACCCAAGCUGCCUGAAGUACCACAGCCCCGUAUCCACGGCUUUUGCCCAGCAGUUAAGAGCCUCUGCUCAGACUGAGAGGGUGCACACCUUUUGAAAAGAACUCCUUGUAAGCUCUCUUGCUCGGGCAGCCAAGGGGACGAUGGCAGGACGGUGGCUGGUGGGUGGGGUCCGAUCUCAGAGAGUUUCCCGUCUCCUGUGGUCACUCAGGCAGCCCUCAGGCCAGACUGGGCUCAAAAACACAUCUUGUUUAGCCGAUGUUUUUUUUUUUUUUUUUAAAUUGUGGUUAAAAUACGCAUAGGAGGAAACAGGCCAUCUAAUCGUUUUUAAAUGCCCGGUUCCCUGGCAUUGAGUAUCUUCACAUCGGUAUGCAACCAUCACCACCCCAUCGUCUCCAGCGCCUUUCCUUCUUCCCAGACUGCAACCCUGGCCCCUUGUUCCCACUAGCCCCCUAGAUCCCCCCGCCAGCCCCUAGCACCUCCCUCAGCAGCACCAGGUGGGUGACAAAGGGGAGGUGCCUGGUUGAUCACAGGCCCUCAACAAAGUUUAUUUCACUUCAUUCUUUUCCCAGGCAGAAGUCUCUCUGAGGUUAAA